rnacentral:rRNA from 1 species
CCUGGUUGAUCCUGCCAGUUGUCAUAUGCUUGUCUCAAAGAUAUAAGCCAUGCAAGUGUAAGUAUGAACUCGUUUGUACAGUGAGACUGCGAAUGGCUCACUAAAUCAGUUAUAAUUUAUUCGGUGGUGAGGUUCUUUUCGGAGGACACUAGAUGGAUAACCGUGGAAAAUCUAGAGCUAAUACAUGCAGAGAGCGGCGUUAAGUCGUGCGUAUAUUAGAUACCAAGCUGUUCCUUUAUGGAGUGGUGAGUCAUAAUAUCCAAGCGGAUCGCAUGGGGCAACCCGGCGACGAACCGAUCAAAUUUCUGCCCUAUCAACUUUGGACGGUAGCGUAGUGGGCUACGGUGGUUAUGACGGGUAACGAACCAUGGGUGUGGGAUUUCGGAGAGGGCGCCUGAGAAACGGCGACCAUUUCCAAGGAAGGCAGCAGGCGCGCAAAUUACCCAAUUCACAAAGUGAGAGGUAGUGACAAUAAAUAACAAUGGUCGAAGCGAAAGCUUGACCAAUUGGAAUGAGAACAAUUUAAAACGCUUAUCGAGAAUCAAUUGGAGGGCAAGUCUGGUGCCAGCAGCCGCGGUAAUUCCAGCUCCAGUAGCGUAUACGGUCAUUGUUGCAGUUAAAAAGCUCGUAGUUGGAUGAGAUUGGGAAAGGCAAAGAUCGAACUUUGAUGAAAAAUCAAGGGAGGUCAAAAGUUUUCCAAUUAUAGUGUUUAAUGAGGGGAUAUGCUUCUUCGGAAGUAUAAUGGAACGAAAGUGAAGUAGAGAAGUCAAAUUCUUUUCCCCCAUUAUAGUUUACUUUGAAUAAAUUAGAGUGUUUAAAGCAAGUAGAAAUUUUCAAAAUUUUGUACGCUUGAAUAGAUUAGCAUGGGAUAAUGGAAUAGGACCAUCAGUUGAAUUGUUUUGGAACAGUUUGUCAACUGAUAGUAAUGAUUGAUAGGAGCGGUUGGGGGUAUUCGUAUUGAAUUAGAAGAGGUGAAAUUCAUGGAUUUGUUCAAGACGAACAUCAGCGAAAGCAUUUACCAAGGACGCUUCCGUUAAUCAAGAACGAAAGUUAAGGGAUCGAAGAUGAUCAGAUACCGUCGUAGUCUUAACCAUAAACUAUGCCGACCAAGGAUGGCGGGUCGUUGCAUGGAUGACUCUCGCCGAACUUUUGAGGGAAACCAUUGAGUGUUUAGGUUCUGGGGGGAGUACGGUCGCAAGGCUGAAACUUAAAGGAAUUGACGGAAGGGCACCACCAGGUGUGGAACCUGCGGCUUAAUUCGACUCAACACGGGGAAACUUACCAGGCCCGGACACAGGAAGGAUUGACAGAUUGAUAGCUCUUUCUUGAUUCUGUGGUUGGUGGUGCAUGGCCGUUCUUAGUUGGUGGAGUGAUUUGUCUGGUUAAUUCCGUUAACGAACGAGACCUUAGCUUACUAAUUAGAUUCACCUAAAUUCGACCUUGUGUUGAUUUAGGA